UCGUUUCUCACGGCAGCAUGCUCCCACC
rnacentral:piRNA from 1 species